rnacentral:tRNA from 1 species
CCGGUGCUGGAGGAGGCGUUCGCCCGCCUGAGGAGCGAGCCGGACGUGUUCCUGUUCGACGGCAUGGGCACCGCCC